CUUUGGGGUGAUGGGUGGGGCAAUGGGAUCAGGUGCCUCAAAGGGCAUCCCACCUGAUCCCACAGCCCCACCUGUCACCCCAAAA
rfam:Pan troglodytes isolate Yerkes chimp pedigree #C0471 (Clint) chromosome 8, whole genome shotgun sequence.